rnacentral:misc_RNA from 1 species
UAAUAAGUGUUUUACUGCACUUUUUAAACAAGUACUCACCUUGUGUGCAAUGUUUGCUGUCGAGUCGUUCACACGACGCGACAGCAUAAUACCAACCCUUUAUUGUAAUUUUUUUGUCUGAAGCUAUUUCGAAUAUAUAAUUCUAAAUA